CCAGCCUGGCUCGUGGUUUCCCCUGGUGCCGGGGAGUGGAGGCGAGUUGUGCUUCCUGCUGGGAGAGAGAAGGGCCUUGGGAAGCUGCUCCAUGAGCCACAGCUGUGCCGAGCCCGGGAGUCUGUCCAGCAGGAUGUCGAGUGCCACCGUGUCCCUGAGGUUCCCCUUUCUGCUGUUGGGAGAGCGCGAGGUGGAUGGAGAGGAUCCCCAGGCAUCUGCAGGCACACGGGACUCGUACAACUGCGAUUUUCCUACAGCCCUCGUGAGAGGGACUUUGAGGGUACCAUGGGAGAAAAUCUGGAAAGCAGGAAGGAAGAAAAGAAGCCCCAUGACUCCUCCUGAGCCCCAGACAGCCCAUGAACUGCCUUGCUGGGAAUGGUAGGACAGGCUGGGCUCUGGAUU